UUCCUCGCACUUGUCAUCGCUGCAACGACGGAGGGGCCGCGCAGGAGAUCACCGUGAUACAGCUGCAACUCCGGCCUGCGACAAGAUCGAUCAGUUCUCUAAGCAAACAUCAAUCAGAUAUCAGCUGCCUCCUCAACAACACUCCACUAUGGUGCUCCCAGACCUCAACAGCACCCCACUUGACCUCAACAACACUCCACUUGACGAAGUUGAUGUCUACAUGUCUGAUGUACCUCAAGUAGAGGAGGAGAUGUUGGAUCAACAUGAAGGAAUUACGUAUGACGUUCUUCUGAUUGCUUUAGCCGAUUGUCCGGAACAUGCUCUAUUGGUAAUAUCCCCCUUCCUUGUCCUGAUUGACAUCUAAUUGGUCUGUGAGGGAUUAGGAAUUGGAUUCGUGGUGCUUAAAUAGGAGACUCACGACUUGACUUUAUAUACUCUGGGAUCAUAAAUGGUUUAUUUGACGGGAUUGUUCAAUUUCUGUGCGAGAAGCAUCAAAUCAGAAAUUAUCAUCGAAGUUAUAAAGUUAUGUGAUGGUUUGUGCUUUGAACUGUCAUCUAAAUCAUGGUUCCAUUAUGUGAUCAUUGCUAAGAAAUGCCACACAACUGUGCAUUCACGGUCGGUGUUCUUCGAGUCCCUUGACCUAGAUCAGGCCUUCGAGUCCAUCGGCGCCAACGUUGCCGAGUGGUGGACGCCCAUGUUCAACUGCCGCGUUGACGCUAUGCACCGCUCCACCUCCUUACUCGCCGCAGGGGAGCUCUGCGAGGUCCAAAUGAAUAUGGAGUCGCUUCGCUCCGGUCCUUCCCACAACAUCUUACUCCUGGACAACUUCGUCCAUGGCCAGUCCGGUGCCGACAACAACUGGGCCAAGGGACACUAUGCCGAGUACGCCAAGCUCAUCGACUCUGUCCUCGACAUGGUAUUAUGAAAGCGCAAGGAGACCAAGAACUCGGACUGCCUCCAAGCACGAACAGGGAGGGUCCAUCGUCAGCGUUGGCCGUGCGGCGGCAGAAAGUACAAGGCAAGGUCGCUUGAAGAGAGUGGAGGAAGAGAACGAGGAUGCGGAAUACUCUCUAGAAAAUGGCUGACACCUGAUAGUGAGGGGACAUCCAACCUCUUGUAUGUGACAAUGGCACUGGAAUGGUCAAGGUUAGAAAUCUUUCUCGCAACUGUUUCAUAAUUGUUUCCUGCAUUUGUUAAGAUAUUAUGUAGGCUGGUUUCACUGCUGAAAACCUCAGGCAAAUUACAUUGGGAGGCUGCUCACCGCAGGUAUCUUAUUACUUCAUGUUUUACUUUUUAUGCAUUACUUUGUGAGCAAUUAUGAUAAUGUAGGUGAAUUUUUAGAAAAGAAAAAACAGCGAGGAAGCAGAAAAUGGGUCAUUGUUGUUGAUUUGCCUGGGUUACAGCUUAUGGCAUCAGAUUUUUUCGACCAUGGACCAUACUGGUUACUCAUUGUUUGUUUUCAGGUCAAUCUCUCUCCCCCAAACUUCCAGCUAAAAUAAUGUUCUUCGUGUGCCGGUCAACAUUAGAAGAUGUUGAUUUCGGCAACACUUUUUCAUCACUUGCUUCAUUUGUUUAGAAUACCAAUUUGCUUCUUGUUACUGUACUGAUGUGAUCAGUAUUUUUGCCACGUUUUUACUGCAUCCUAGAAUCCUCAUAAUAAAACCAAGAGAUUUAGAUCUCAUUGUGCUACUUCUUAACCUAUACUCCCUCCGUCCCUUUUUAAUUAACUUGGGGGAGAAAAACGUUUCACAAAUAUUAUUUUACAGUCCAGUCCUGCAUAUUUCAAAACAUAACAAAAAAAGACCCAGAUCUGAUCGGGUCAUUCCCGGAUCCAAUCUCCGUCCCGCUCGGAAUCGAUCGAUCGAUCGGUCAGCUGGAUCGAUCGCUGAUCGGGUCAUUCCCG